rnacentral:misc_RNA from 1 species
AUAAUCUUGGAAGAAACACAAGCGGGGAUUUGAGGUUUCUUGAUUUUCUAGUUAACUGCACAAGUUUACAAGUUCUUAGCUUUGAGGACAAUAUUUUGGGAGGUGAAUUGCCUAAAACAAUCGGUAACCUUUCCACGAGGCUAGAAAUAUUGGCUCUUGGUGAUAAUAUCAUAGUUGGUUCUCUUCCUACAGGACUAGAAAACCUUGUUAAUUUGACCCUUCUAUCUCUGGAUAAUAGCUACUUGAGAGGUAGUGUUCCUGAGUCUUUAGGUAAACUUCGACGCCUGCAA